GCUCUCUUGAAGCGCAUGUCCUAAACCUGGCACGACACAGACAAGAUUAGCAUAGUUCCAACGCAAGGAUGGACGGCAUACAAAUGAGAGGAGCAUUCCAUAUUU